AUACUAAACUAGAGGUUACAAAAAAAAAAACGUUUUGAUGACUUUACAUAAAGUGUACAUAUCAAUCGAUUGGGGUAACAACUUGGGUCCCCAACUUAUUAUAACUUUGAAGUAAAUAAUAACUGCAACUGCGAAUGAUCCUAGAUAAAUAUUGGAAAUAUUCUGCUAUUCUGCUAUUCUGCUAUUAUCAACGCAUCCCCUGGCUUUCGCCCAUCUGCGUUGUCUUUUCACUAGGCAAUACGUCUACCAAUUGAUGUUUAUGGGCUUGCCGGACCAAGUCAUGUAGCUAAGCCAAACACCCCACCUACAACUGUUGGGUAGGCACCAUUGUCCCGCCCACUGGUCUUUUACAGCUAGUUGUAGGUGCAUGUGUGCGUGUAAGUAUUGGUGUAUGUGUGUUAGUGUUGGUGUAUUGUAGGCGCCAACUCGUUCUAAUCCACUCUGAUUGCAAACACCCUAUUGAACCAUUACCCUUAAAUCUGGCAAUCUAUGAAAUAGAAUGAGUUAAGCGCCUGUACAUAACAGUCAGUUAAAUCAAACAAGGAAUACUAGUAUUAAAGCGAAGAUACAACGAAGCAACGCCCCGGAUCUCGAGAGCACAAACCCCAAGAACCAAAUGACAGGCAGCGCCGACAAGUCAAUCAACUGGCCACCACCAGUGAUUAACCAAUCGAGCAAACCCUCCAGCACAAACCGCCAUCAGCUCUCCCGACCUGCGCCCAAAAAAUCCGAGGCACAGCCCAGCCAUAGCUUCAUCUUAAAACCAAAAUCUAGAUUGCAGAGCACAAUACUUCCUAAGUAACCGCGCAGCUCGGGCCGCAAAUCCCACACAACACGUCACAAAUAAGCCAAACACUACCCCGUUCGUACAACCGAAACCGAUCUAGGGUAGAGAAGGGUCUCUUUCCACUCCAACCCGGACUCAACUGCACCCACAGGGUAGCGCACCCCACACACACUGCACUCAUGCAUCCAUCACGACCCGAGCCGCAUGGUCACCUGGGUUGCUUCUAUCUGCAUGACCUCACCCAACCCGUAACGCAGAGUUUAAAUCCCUCUCUUGCAUUACAAAGCAGUCCCUCCUCCCAAAGAUUGUGCGUGGAAUAAAUGAGAUUCUAAAGCUGAAGAAAUCGUCACCAACACAACCGUCAACAAUGAGCACGCAAUGGUGUCGGCAGAAUCAAUGACGACCCCCUCAGUCCCAAACCCAAUUAUCCUACACUACCCAAGUAACCACAAUGCUGAGCCGUAGGAGCCGUACGCACUGCACGUACGAAGUACAUACAGACCUACCCGCACCGCCUAAACAAACCACCUAGGCCGAACACAAGCGAAAAGCGGCACCACCACUGCUGAACCACGACUAUACCAGUAAGUAGGUAUAAUCGCAAUUAAGCAAUCGUAGAUCCAUUCCCCGCUCCUACUCAGCCCUAACGAUCCAUAGCAAUGCUUGUCAAUAUAUGCACCCCACACACGCAACCCCCACAACCCAACAGUAUGGUCACUUGAGUAUCCCUGGGAUUUUGAUUACAUGAUGGUCAGGGAUCACAGCCAUCAAAACGUUCCACACUUUACCAGGGCUUGCGACCUGUAACCAUCAUGAUUUCCGCUAUGAGAAACCAUGAUGGCUAGCGGUGUUAGAUAAAUAUUGGAAAUAUUACUUGCAAACAUACUAUCCUCCAUUUUCUUCUUUAUGGUUCUACGUCCCUACUGGGACUUGGCCUGCCUCACUUCAACUUGGAGUUCUUUGAGCACUUCCACAUUUAUCAAUUGACGGGCUUUCUUUGCUUGCCAGUGCAUGAAUUUGUAUAUUAUGAGGCGAGUACAAUGAUACACUAUGCCCAGGGAGUCGAUAAACUUUUCCCGCCUGGAACGGGAAUCGAACCCGCCGUCUCUGGAUUGGCGAUCCAUAGCCAUAACCACUAGGCUAACUGGAGAUCCCAAACAUACUAUCCUGUUAAUUUUAAAUUCAUUGAAAAAUUAGUGAGCUUCGGCAGAUAGUGUUAGAACAUGGUUUUCCGGCGAAACAAAUUUGGCUGGCACGCGCAACGUCAGAUGUAUCAAGCCCAAUUGUUCGGAACGCUUCGAAGUGUUAGUAUAAUCGCCUACACUGAUCACCGCUUGAUGGUCGGACUUUCGGUUCUUAUCCCUAAAAGGGAUACCUUCAUGGCCUCAGUUUCGUCACCUCGCUGAGUGUGUUCCAUCAAAGACGAGCUCUGAAAGGCACCUGGGUUCCAAUGGACCCCAGGUAUCCCUUUUAGGGUUAACAACCACCACCUCAGUUUUGUGGUGAGCCAAUUCCAGUUUCCUGCAGCUGCUCCAUUUCUCUACAACUGCGAUCGAGUGGGCUGCUGUAGAUUCUAAUUUUCGAUCGAUUCACCGUAGCCCUUAUUGUGCUACUUUUCCCCGAAUGUCAGUUCCCCAAAUGUCGUUUCCCCGAAUGGCUCGUUUCCGGCAAAGUCAGUUUCCCGAAUGACCCGUUUCACCGAGAAGAAUUCGAAUGGAUCUCUUGUCAACACAUGUUCGUGAUCCUGGGGACUAAGUUGUUCAAAAAGUUAACCGAUCAUAAUAUGACAAGUCGUUAGAGUCAAUUUGGUUCUAGAAAGAACGAGCAGCAAUGGAAAGAAGGAUUCAUAUUGCCCUCCUUCAUUUAGCAGUGUUGAAGUAGGUCUAAGGAGCAAUAGAACUUUAAAGAACCUCUAACAUAAUAAAGAAGGGUGUGAUUCGGGGAAAAGGGUCAUUCGGGGAUAAGUUCCAUUCAGGGUAACAGCAUUCGGGGAAUCGGCGUUCGGGAGAAAUGACAUUAGGAACCGACAUUCGGAAAAAAGUAGCACAACCUUCGUAAAUUACUUCUCGAUUCUAGAAGUAACAUCCAGGCAUCUUGUACAAAUACCCGGGUAUCCCCAGACGCAGGAAGGCAUCGGCAGUAGUCGCAUAAUAGGUGCUAUUGAAGGCAUUUCUUACAUCCAGAGUCACUACUGCAAAGUAGCGAAUUCCACUCCUCUAACGCUAGAGCGCUUUCUCAGCGGACUUUGUAACCGUCAAGAUAGCGUCUAGGGUUGACUCCUCUUUCCGGAAGCCGAACUGGUUGCUCGAGAGACCAUUCACACCCCCGGUGUGCCUCAACAGCCUGUUGAGGAUGUUCUUCUUGAGCACCUUCCCCGCCAUGCCGAUCAAGCACAUAGGUCUAUAUUCCGACGGGUCUCCGGGUAGUUUCCCCGCCAAUAGUCCCAAGGUCUGCCGUUUUCAAAUCGCUAGGCAAAAUCCCUCGUCCAGGCAUUUCUGCAUAGCAGAUUUGAACAUCCUGGGAGCCUCUGCAAUAGCUAUACUUUUAAUGACAGGUUUUGAACUCCGUCCAAACCUGGUGCCUUACAUACGCUAAAGGAUUUUGCAAUCCCCGCCGGUGACUUUCCUCUCAUGGCCAGCCCCAGUUCACAGCGGUCCUACAAAGGGAAGCCAAGGACUAGGACUAUGACGCGGACUGGUCUCCUCGAUGAUCCUCGCUAACAUCUCUGGAGAAUGCUCGUUUGGAGCCAUUGGAUUCGCAUUGGCACUCUGACAGAGACCCUCAAAAAAGACCAUUUUGCUUGCCAUCACCUCGGUCUUCAGCGCGACGUUGGUAGCGGCCAAUCCACCAGUACGCUGGUAAUGUCCUAUUCGUAGGGUGGGCUUGUCUAGGCAUGGUAAUUGUUGUUGUAAUCGAUACUAUAGCGAACCGCCAGGUGAUCGAUCACCAUGAGUGUUCAAACUACUUCUUAGAUCAGGACUACAAAAAGUAUGUAACAUCGAUGAUCGACUCCGCUCCGUUUCCCAGCUCCCGUUACCGGUUCAGCUGUGUUACCUGCACUGUGAUUUGGCAGUUGUGGUUCUUCUGAAGGCCAGGCACCUUGGGUCUCCCGUUAGCUUGCUGUUCGCGGAUUUUUCGGAACAAAUCACUAGGGAAUAUUCCUGCAACCUUGUGCCUUACGGCCUCUACCUGCACAUAGCCUACACAGUAUGCUUCUGCCUUGUGACUUGUGUCCUGGUUCCAGACAACUGAAGCAAGCCUCCGGUGGCUCGUGUUGACAUACUGACAAGCCCACCUUGAGCUUCCCCACUUUAACUGACUUGUUAGUGUCUGCCACAGGUAGCUGCACAAAGGUUAUCCUCAGAGUCACCUCCGCUGUAAGAGCCCUCACCUCAACGACCUCGCCAAGGAUCUCUUCGAUAGACCUUUGUAGACGGCGUACUUGCGUUCCUUGUGACGCUUGAGCUCAAGGAUCAUUUCACCUCAUCGCCUUGCUUCAAGACUUCUGAAUACUUACAGUGCACUGUUCAGUCUUGAUGAUGAGCGCUUCGUCCUGCUCACGCUUGGCACCUAUCCUCCUAUGUCUCCUAGGUUUGGUGUCCCUACGCUCCUGCACAUCAAGCGGGGAUCCUCCCCCUGAUCCGCCCUAACUUGUGGUUGCUGAAGGCCUAACAAUGAUCGCAACCGAACCUCCUGUUCCCUUCAAUCUGGGACGGGCCGGCCUUUUGAUGCCUUUUUUGUCGGCUUUAAGUACUACAAACCUUCUUCGGAGUUAACAGCCGCCUAGCCUUGCGGGUACCACCUAGUAGCUGUGCAUCUGACGGCUGCCUCACCUACUUACUUACUCUUAGUCCUGAGCACCCAUGGUGGUGCAGAGGGCCGAAUUGAAAGAUCUCCCUCCAUCCUAGGCGAUUACCAGCCAUCCCUUAGACCAGGUCAAAUUUAUUAGCAUUAGCAUUAAGCGAGUCGCACAAAUCCGUAGAUGGUACAGUCCUAGACCGCUGUUUUGAGAGUUGAUUGCCUCCUUCUCGUCCGAACCAAAACACAAUGAUUUGGGACUAAUCACUGACUCUUAGACAAGACUGACGCAAUCCUCCAAUGGUUGAGAACUUUCCUGGCCACGACUGCUAAGGGAUGGGAAAAGAUAAUUAGUUUUGGACACCUAUGAAAGAUGUAGGCAGCUCUACGAUCUCUCAGGCCUAGGUGGACGGGAAUUUGGGUAUUGUUAGUGGAAGGGUAAACUCCAUACGUUUGGUCAACGUUCAGGUAUGUUGAAAAUGUUUUUCAUAAGUUGGCAAUAAAAUCUAAGGUUAUUAUUUUGAAAAUAUAAUCUACAAUCAAACAACAAUCUUACACAAAAUUUUCUUUGAAUCUUGUAGUAAUAGUUACCAAAUAUGGUAUCGUCGAUUCACAAAAAAAUCACUAUUAACCAAGCACACCAAAAAAAAAUAGAUGCUGACUUAAUUACGGAUUCCCAAAAACAUUUGUCCAAAAAUUUCUAAGAAUUUCAACUUGUUUCGGAAAACACAUCAACAAGUUUAACAAACUAAGAAUUUUAUAUUUUAAAAUGUUUGAACAAGUGCACCGCGUAGCAAUUUAUUUCUAAAAAGUGUACCGCAAGACAGAACGUGUGAAAACCCCUGUCUCAGAGUAAUCCCUGAAAAAUUACCAACCUCCGCAAAUUUCUGGAAGAAUAACUGGAUAAAUCUUAAGAGAAAUUCCUGGAUUUUUAAAAAAUAUCAAUAAACAAAAAAUGCAAGAAGUGCAUCCCGUUUCAUUCUAAAUGACAUUAUUUAAAGCCUCAGUAGGAAAUUUCGGUUCCUACAUCUUGCUGUAGAAACAAGACGAAUGAUUCAGUUUGUUUUGAUCAAGUCAUUAGCGAAAUAGAGAAAUCGAUCAAGUCAGUUAGGCCCUCGAUCAAUCAAUUCUGACUAUAUACAUGCCAAUAAAUGCUCCUCCGUGAUUGACCUGAACUGGUAACAAUUGCACUGAGGUUCAACUGAAUAAGGGACUGGGACUUAUUCUCAAAGUGCAAUUGUAGCAGCUCAUGCAUUUUCGAUCAAUAACGGCGCCGGCCCAGUCCUUAUAGUCAGCUGGGAAGGGAAAGGAAUGUUAGAGUGUUGCUGCUAAAGACCGCGAGCACCUCUGCGUCCCCACAACCCGCACGAACUGGGGUAUAUGUUAGGCGGAAAGGAUGGGAGAUCUGGGAGUCACCGUUGGGUCGGUGAUGCGAUCCAUGGAUAGGGGAUUAUUUAUAGUGUUCGUUAGGUGAUAGAUUGUGUGGUGAAUAUGAAGGUCAAGCGGCACAGUUCCCUUUGGUUGCAUAGCUUGCAGGCGCUAUAUACACUGUGCUGUGGAAGUUGGAAGGAAGGGAAACGACUUUUUUAAAUUUGUUUCUGGUUCUAGCGAUGGCUAUGAACAUAUCUAUAAACAUGAGUUGUAUAUGUAGAGAAGGGUGAGAGAGAAAGCAGAUUGAAGGAUACAAAGUAGGAGGAAAGGGACGAGCCAGGGAUUGAAUCCAUGACCUUUUGCAUACGAAUCAGAAGCUGUAGCCACUAGACCACCAAGCCCGUUAAUCGAUCAAGCCAUUUCAAGUCAGUUAGGCCCUUAUGAAAAACCAUUGUCGAAAUAAAACCAUGAAACACUCUCAGAUGGGUAGAUAUGUAAGUGUUAACCGAAUGACAAUGAUAUCAAACAAAACAUUAUUUAGUCAUGCCUCCUUCAAGUCAUAUAACAUCGAUAACAAAAUGACAAAUAGACAACCGUAAGAUAUCAGAAGAAAGCUCAAACGCUGUUUGCAACUGUCGUCCAUAAAUCCGAUGAAUAAUUUUAUUUACUUUUCGGCUAUCUACCCGUACUUGGGAGUUCAACUAAUACUGCUUUCUUUGACGGGUAGGUCGUUAUUCUGAAGUAUCGGUUCAAGGAAAACACAGCUCUAUAUUGGCACUGUCGUCACGCAGACUGACUUGGUUUGAACGUUACUGACUAGACGUAAACGGGACCGAACGAUCGACACUGUCGAAAUGGGAUGGUCAAGCUAUUAGACCUAGACGCGUGUACGGCGCAGACGGGUUGGGCGACCAUUACGCUAUUGACAUUGAAACUUGCGCAUCAUCAAGGGGCAUGUACGCAAAAAUCGAAGACGGGAGGAAAUCAAGUCAAUGCGAAUGUAUAAAAUUAUAAGAGUAAAUUAAAGAUUUUAUAAAUGAACUAAUAAAGCCUUCAAUACAUAGUCCCUGAAAAAAAUAUACAUGAAUUUAUACAUCCAAAUAGUAACGUCGUAAUAGGUGCAUGACCCCUAGACACUUGUUUCUCACUUUUCACCGCCAUCAUCACCGCCACCGCAGUCGUUUAGUCUAAGCAGAUUUUGCGUUUUAAGCCACUUUUUUGCUCUCCUCCACCGAGCACCGUUAUAAAUUUCGCUAGAAACAUAAACUGUGAACUUUCUUGGCUUGUGGCACAGCGGCGAAACAAAAAAAAACAAACUCAAUGACGAUAACACCCAUGACUAGCUUUAGCUGCGUUGCGUGGUGUGCGGUCGGUCACUUGAACCUGAUCUUGGAGAGACACCGGGCGGCGGAUCAUUGGACCGACCGCCGAGAGUGAUUCGUGUCGUUAGAGACGAGUGUCCUCGGUAAAUGUCGUUUCGGGUGUUUACUUUGCCUGCACGCGAAGCGGUUUUUAUGAGGACAGAUGUGGCGAGCCGUUAAAGAUUUUCUAAUAAAUUUAAUUAAAAUGCUUAUUUCGAAGGUUGUUGACCGGUUCUAUAACAUUUACCCGAAAACCGUUUACCCGAAACACAUUUACCCGAAUGACAUUUACCCGAAUGCGACAAAUACCCGAACGCGACAUUUACCCGAAUGCGACAUUUACCCGAAUGCGACAAUCGCCCGAAUACGACAUUUACCCGAAUGCGACACUUACCCGAAAAAUGCAAAAAAAAACCGUGGACUUGAUCCCCAUAUGAUUUGUCAAUAAUAAAUAUGUAAUAGCCCAGUGUUAUACAGCCAACUUUCGUUAGACCUUAUUAUCAUCAGGCCAAGUGAUCAUCAAGCACUUUGGUGCAGGACUAACUGGGGGUCAAAAUUCAAUUUUAAUUUGAGGAUUGUUUUUUUUUAACGUCUCCACAUUACAAGCCCGAACGCCAACCCGAAAUCAUUCAGGAGGUCGCCCGAAAAGUGUUCACUGUGGACAAUUUAUUAGAAGUUGAUAAAAUUUCAUCAGUUAGAAAAGGGUAAUCCUUGAGAAAUCUUUAGCAACGUUGUGAUUCAUGAAAGGUUUACUUAGAGGGUAGAAUUAGUAUAAGUUAAAAUUCUCUAAUAAAAAGAAAUAAAUAAAUAAGGGUUUACGAAAACGUAAGAAGCAAAUGCAAUGCAUUUAAGAAAACUGCGACGAAGGGAGAGGUUGCUGAUUCAAACAAUUUGCCUAAUAUUCAGGGUGCAUAUCCGAUGGCCGAAGACGUAUGUACUUGUCUAUUCAAAUGUGGAUCCUGAAGAGCUCAGUAUGCUUACCUAACCGGCCUUUUUUGAAACUAUUGUGUUCUCCUCAAAUAUGCUUAAACAUUUGCUAUUGGCGCUAAUUCCGAAACAUAUUUUAAUAAAUAAUUCUCCCUUCUCCCCAAUAAUAAAAUGGCUGUUCUUUGGAACUAUAAAAUGCUGUAACAAUAUAGUUAUUGAAGUUUUUAUUUGAGAAUUCUUUUUAUUUCAAGCUAUGACUGUUCUUUCGAAGUUAAGUUAAGUAUUUUAAUCUGAAAUGUUUCCUUCUUUUAAAUGUUGAAUGUUCUUUCAAAUAGACAAUCUUGUUUUUGUUAUAAUUUAUUUGGUAUUGAUAUCUUGCCACAAACCUUGUCAAAUGGCUAGCUUUCUGAUAAGUAAGAAUUCCCGAAAAGACAUCGAGCCAUUCGGCCAAAAAUCAUUCAUGCCGGAAGUCAUGAGGAUGAAUGAUAAAUUGUCACCAAGAAGUUUUUUUAGCACAACUAAACGUUCGAAUGUAAUGUCUUUUUCAUUACCAAGCUAUUACAGUUUAACAACACAGGCUGCUUUGAGCUACAUACAUUUAUAUACUCGGUCAAAAUUUAGCAGCCAUACUGUAAGUAUUCUCCACUUCUUCUAAUAUUUGCCUUCUUUUUAAAAUAGGAUGUUCUUUUGAAUUAGCAGAGUCCAAAUGUGUACUGUCUGAGUUGGUCGACCAAACUGGAAAUAGAGGCUAUUUUUCGAGUUGCAAUAUUAUAUAUUUUAUGUGAAGACGAACUUCUAACUCCUUGAAAAAUUUGCCCUUCUUUAAAUAAUAAGCUGUUCUUUCAAGUAAAGAUUUACACAAUUGACUGGUGGCCAAAUUAGCAACUUGAUCAGAUAUUUUCCUUUUUAAGAAUAGACUGUUCUUUCGAGGCCUGCUAAUCGAUCGAUUAUCUUUUUUUUCGGCCUAAAGACCACUCGGUUAGUAUGCUGGGCUUACUAUUACAGGGUAGUGACCCAUUUGGGGUACUGGCUUUUGGGAUAAAGGCCUAUUCGGGGUUAUGGGUUUCGGGCCGUGGUAUCAGGGGUAAUUUGCUAGAGUUUCUUUUACAGAAAUAGUGUUAACCUCACUAAGUUGUUUGGUAGCCAAACUAUUCCUAUCCUUCGAAGAUUUUUCCUUCUUCUCUUCAGAGGCUGUUCUUUCGAGUUGUACUGCUGCAUAUUUUAUUGACGUUCGAACUACAGGGGAUACUCAAAAUAACUGGGACAGGUAAAAUUUUCACUUUUCAAAAAAUGUUCAACUCGCUGUAACUUUUCGAAAAGGGCAUCAAAUAUUCUCAAAUUUUUACUGUAAGUUCAUCAACUAGUUGUGUAUCUGUGGUCAAAAUUUGGAAAAGAUCGGGCUAUUCUACACGAAGUUAUAAAGGUUCUAGAAAAAGGUAUAA